ACGGAAGGCAGCAGUGGGGAAUAUUGGACAAUGGGGGAAACCCUGAUCCAGCGACGCCGCGUGAGUGAAGAAGUAUUUCGGUAUGUAAAGCUCUAUCAGCAAGGAAGAAAAUGACGGUACUUGACUAAGAAGCUCCGGCUAACUACGUGCCAGCAGCCGCGGUAAUACGUAGGUGGCAAGCGUUAUCCGGAUUUACUGGGUGUAAAGGGCGCGUAGGCGGGGAAGCAAGUCAGAUGUGAAAUCCAUGGGCUCAACCCAUGAACUGCAUUUGAAACUGUUUCUCUUGAGUGCUGGAGAGGUAGAUGGAAUUCCUAGUGUAGCGGUGAAAUGCGUAGAUAUUAGGAAGAACACCAGUGGCGAAGGCGAUCUACUGGACAGUAACUGACGCUGAGGUGCGAAGGUGCGGGGAGCAAACAGGAUUAGAUACCCUGGUA
rnacentral:rRNA from 1 species